UCUCUCCGUCCUCGUGGUUCGCUCAUCUCUUCAUCGCCCCCGUCUCUCCGUCUUCACCCUGCCGCCUAUUUCUCUCUCACGUGAAGCCUCUCUCUUUCGAGUGCACUCCGUCUCUCUCAUCACCAUGAAGAAAUUUCUCCUGGUCAUUAUUAUUGCUGUUGUUGCUGCCUCACUAUUAUUCAUGUCAUCGAUUUAUGAAUCCGCUGGCGAUGGAUUCACGAAGCCAAAACAUGCGGUGAGUGUACACAGUGCCUCAAGAUCUGUCAUGGAUGACCCUCGUACUCACGUUAAUCCUAGUACUAGUUGGCAUGGUGGAAUUAACGAUCGUGAUGGACACUAAAAUAUGCACUGCGAGGCAGUGACUUCGAUGUUGACGACCCAAAUAAGAACUACUUUAAUCGCUUUAAUUACUCACUUGCGCAGGGUCUUCCUAUAUAGAAAGUUUCUACUUGUUGUC